AAACCCAAAUCUAUCCCCAACUCAUCAUGGAGAAAGUGCAGUCCAGAAGACAUGAGCUGACGGAGACGCGUCGAUAUCAGGUCGGCCUGUUCCGACACUACGCCUCCCCAGCUCGAUGCCAUCUUACCACAUUCUCACACAAACAGCAGCACAGAGGACGGAAAUCCUGAAUCACCAGCUGAGGAGCAAAAUGCUGACGUUUUUUCAAAUUAAAACAAGCCACUAUAAUAAAGUGAUUAAAAAUAAAUAAAUAAAUACAUACCACAA